CUGGCAGAUCGCAGGCCGGAUUUUCGCAGAAAAAAAGGGUUCAGUGAAUCUGAAAAUGCACUCGUUGUAAAAACUGCUACAUAUAAUGACUUUCUACUUGGGGACCUUGAUAUAAAUGUAGUUGAGUAAAAAGUACGAUAUUUGUCUUUCAAAUGUAGUGAAGUUAAAGUCGCAAGUUUCCAGAAAAAAUAAUACUCGAGUAAAGUACAGAUACUCAAAAAGUGUACUUAAGUACAAUACUCAAGUAAAUUUACUUCGUUACUGUCCACCUCUGGUCAUAAAUGAAAAGUCAAAGUACAUGUUCGGAGUUUCGCCAUUUUAAACACCGAGACCGGUCUCGAGACAGAUGACUUCCGCAUUGAUAUUCUGAACGUAUUCAUUUUUAAAUGUGCUUGAUAAUGAACGUCUUCAUGCUGAAACUGAAUGAAAUCGAUCUGCGAUGUUCAUCCAUAAUCAGGGUGGAGACUUCAUGGAUGAAACAAAAACAUCCAGAGAUGAAGAUUCUUAUCAAAGAUGCAGUUCAGUCCAGCAGGAGAGACCAGAUUCACCAGAUGUGUAUCUAUGAGUGUUGUAAGAAAAAGUGAAGAGGACGUCGAAGAUCUUGAUGAAGAAUAAUAUUUUAUUACAGCGUAGCAGUGACAAAGUACAAAUAGCACUUCGGAUUCAGCGGAGUCGGAAUGAACCCAGAACAUCCUAAGCACAAACCUUUUAUACAGUUACAGUUGCUCCUGUUAUUACAGCUGUGGUCAAUCCAUCCACCCAGAUCAG